ACAUAACCUGUGACUUGACUUGACUUUCCUAAAAAAGAAUAACUCAAGACUUGCUGGAACCAAAUGAUUUGGGACUAACUUGGGACUUGAGCAAAGAGGACUUGGUCACAACGCUGCUAGGUCACCACUCCAUUUAUUAAAG